rnacentral:lncRNA from 1 species
GGAGGAAAUGGGCCCUCCAGUUCCGCUCUACCAUUGCCAAAAGGGAGAAAUGGGAGCUCCAGGAGCCCGUGGAAACAAAGGAGAAAAGGGGCAGCCUGGGGAGAUGGGGGAGCCUGGAGAAAAGGGCACCAAAGGAGACAGAGGUGAAAGCGGUCAGAAGGGAGAACCAGGAAUUGGGUUCAGAGGCCCUGUUGGUCAGGCUGGACCCCCAGGAUUUAAGGUAAAUCUUUCUUCUCCCCUAGAUAGGAUCUUAUUUGUUUUUUUUUGUGGGUGUUAC